rnacentral:snRNA from 1 species
ACACUCUGAUUUCUCUUCAGAUCGUGUAAAUCUUUAUCCUUUUACAAAAAUAUCUG